UUGUAUGGACUUGUAUGGUAUAAUGCUGCGCAGCUUCCAUAAACAAAUCAACAUCGCAUAUUUUCAAUCUCGUCUGCGAUUCUAAAUAUUCACAAAAAUUAGGUCAAUGGCCCAAUUUAGCUCUAUGGACCAAUCGAAUUCGAAGACCCUGACGUUGACCCAAAUUGAUGGCGGGAUAAUUGGGAACGCAGCGCAAAUCGGACGAAUUGUUCAAAAUGCUUUUGUUUUUGCACAACUUUCAUUGUUAACUUUUUGGCUGCGUCGACGCUGACAGAGACAACGCAAGCAGCACCAGCGAUAUAAAUUUCAUGGAAUUUGCCGAGUUUUGCGCGGUUUUGUUUAUCACCACAUCCCACAACAUCAUCCACUUGUCGCUAGCCGCUCGCCGUUGGCUCAUUGGGCACGUGCAGCCGCCGAGCGAAAGCAGCGAUGCACCUGAACCGAACGCCUUAUGUGCUGCGGCCGCGGCCCUGGCGCGUAGAAAUGAGAAAGUGUCCCUGCCCGAUGUUGAAGCGAGCGAUGCCAAAUUUCAUUUAACUAGAAUCGCAGACAACAGCAACAACAACGACGUGCGCUGAGCUUUAAAUCUUGGGUAUAAAACGUGUGGGUCGCUGCGGUGUCAAUUCAAACGUUUAACGAACGCAGAGCAGCACGCGACCGAUAAGAGGAGUCACCCACAGUAGCAGCAUAAUAACAAUAAUAUUACCUUAACAACAUCAAGUACCACUGAGAUGCACGCCUGUAAAUUAAUGUUGAGUUUGCUGCUGGCGCUGCUGUGCAGCGAGGGCCUGCUGGCGGCCUGUGUGUGCUCGGAGAAGGGCACCGAUUACUGUCAGAGCUGUCAGGGACCGACCAUAGUGCGCCCGAAGCCCCGCUAUUAUGAGCCCAGCGAGGUGAAUCUGUCGCCCAUUGGCGACAAUUGCUGGUGCAGCAAGCAGCUGAUCGAACCCGCCCAGCUGCCCAAGACCUGCGGCAAAGUACGUGAGCUUUUUCAAUAUGUGCACGCGUUUAACAAUCUGUUGAGCCGCCGCAUGCUUGAGGGUGCCAUCGAGGCCAAGACUCUGGCGGCACAACGUCUGGCCGAGCGGCUGCAGCGCUUAGAGCAUGCGGACUGCCAGAAGCGGCGUAGCGUUCACAUGGUUCCAUCUGCGAGCUAUGGCUACGGCCUGUGACUAAUCCAGUGUCUAACAAGCUUAAUCUUAGAUUUAUAGAACACAACCCAGUAGACCUAAAAGACUAGUAUAUGCAUGCCCAGUACAACCCAGCACUAUAAUUCACUAAUAUAUAAUAUAUACACUAAUAUAUACAUGCAUACAUACAUACAUACUUACUUAAAUUCGCACACCUGCAUACAUCCUCUGCAAUAAGAGCAAUAGCAAUCGUUGAGCAUUGUUUCCGCAUGCAAGCGCUAUCUGCGCCCAAAUGUGUGCAGCAAUAGGCCAAUAGCAAGAACGUUGGGCUUGCAACAUCAUCAGUAUCGUCAUCAUUGGCAAGUGUACCAGAACAUCAUCAUCAUCGUCACGAACAUCAUCAUUCUAGUGGACUUGGGCAUCGCUGGCGGCUAUGUCAUCAUUAUCAUCCCAAGCCGCCAUGCAAACCCACCUGCGGCUGCCAACAGAGCGAAGAUAGCAGCUACAGCAGCUCCAGCACCAGCUCCACUUACGA